UACGUAGGGUGCGAGCGUUAUUCGGAUUUAUUGGGCGUAAAGAGCGUGUAGGCGGCCAGAUAGGUCAGCUGUGAAAACUCGAGGCUCAACCUCGAGACGUCGGUUGAAACCAUCUGGCUAGAGUCCGGAAGAGGAGAGUGGAAUUCCCGGUGUAGCGGUGAAAUGCGCAGAUAUCGGGAAGAACACCCGUGGCGAAGGCGGCUCUCUGGGACGGUACUGACGCUGAGACGCGAAAGCGUGGGGAGCGAACAGG
rnacentral:rRNA from 1 species